rnacentral:ncRNA from 1 species
UAUGAUAGAGGCGCGGUUUACAUGAGUAUGCCCCGAAAUUGGCCAGGCAGCCAGCGGGCAGAAAGGGUCAGCCGCCGAGGUGUCGCGUUCCUGCCUGGGUGCGCGGUCGCCGGGCCGGCAGAUAAGAUCUGCCGGACUGUCGCACAGGUUUUUGUGUGGAGCGCUGUC